rnacentral:rRNA from 1 species
UACGGAAGGUGCGAGCGUUAAUCGGAAUUACUGGGCGUAAAGCGCACGUAGGUGGUUUUAUAAGUCGGAUGUGAAAGCCCCGGGCUUAACCUGGGAAUUGCAUCCGAGACUGUCUGACUUGAGUAUGCUAGAGGGAAGUGGAAUUCCAGGUGUAGCGGUGAAAUGCGUAGAUAUCUGGAGGAACACCAAUGGCGAAGGCAGGUCUCUGGGCCGCAACUGACGCUGAGGAGCGAAAGCAUGGGGAGCGAACAGG